rnacentral:lncRNA from 1 species
CCCUCCUCGUUUUUAAGACAGGGAAAGGUAGUAGAGUUCCUUCCAUACAAGUAAUGAUCUAACGAUCAAAUCAUAUUUAGGCCUUUCUUUUCUUUGAAAGGGAUAUUCCCAGCCUCUACAUGGGUUGAUGCAGUCUUGCAAUAAAAGAAAAAACAUGUGGUGCCAUAAUGGCCUAUAAUAGGAUUACAUGACUCAUUCAUAAAUCCUACUAUAGAAUUGUCAUCCAAAGCGGUUGAACAUAACCCGAGCAGCCAUCAUCCAUAUUUCCAAAUCUCUGGCCCAUCCUGGCCAUCCUCUACCUCCGUCACUCGCUGCAGGGAACAACACAUAUGGAUCCAGCUGGUAGCUUUGAGGAUAACUGCACUAUUUAAUAAGUUUAUACAUGAUAAAAAAAAAGAUCAUUCUGGCAAUUCUAGAUGGCUCAAACUAAAGCACAAACCAUCACACAGAUGUGAGACUUAUUAGGAGUACUUGCUGAAGGGGGUAAAUUAUGGGCUACAUGGACGCUAUGCCAGAGUAUGUUGAUAAAACGGACAGGUAAAAGAUAAGUCUCGAACUCUUUCUUCCAUUUCACAAAUGGAAAACUUUUUGAGCCGUCCAUCUUGGUUUGGCCAGAUUAUAUUUUGUGAGAACCAGCCCUCUAUCCAAGUACCUCAUGGAUAUCUUGAUUCUGAACAGCAAUUUGAUCUUCCAAAGUAUUGCUUGCGAACAACAAGACCAGUGUUAAUGAGGUCAGCAUAGAUGGAUUUUUUAUCAGCACUUUGAUCUUCCAAAUUUAUUGCUUUAGAAACAAUAGACCUACUCACAGUUUCGGAUUUCGUUUUACAAAAUAUACCGCCCCUGAACGAAACUGGCGAAAUUCGGAUUUUCGGAUUUUUUUUGGAAAAUUCCGGACGCAAAGCAGACUUCAAAAUUUGAAUUCUUGAACAAAAAUUGAGCGAAUUUUGAACGAAAAAUGAACGAAUUUGUGCCAAAAAUGGAAAUCCUGCAGCAACAAGAAUAAAACACAUCCAAGUUGAACCAGCAACAAUCGAUUGAUUGACUAUGCGCACACGAAUCAGAAAUUAAACAAGCUAGCGGGAACGAGAGUAUCGCGCUGCCCAAGCACGGAACCAGCUGCGCUAUCUGGUUCAGCUGCGGCCGCCCGAACAUGCUUGCCCGUGCCCAACCAAUAGUGUGCCGGGCCAUGGAAGAGGCCAAGCAGAUCAGGCGUGAGGAAGAUGGGAUCUAGGAUGAGUCCAGCACGAGGCGUCGGCGAGACUGCGAGAGGACGAUGGGAUUCAAGACGCGGCGGCGGACACAGAGAAGAGUUGAGGAAUUAGAUUUUUCUGUCUAGGGUUAGAAGUUUAGUUCCAGCCUUUUAUAUCCCUAGAAGUGCCAGGCAAGUUGGGCCUGAGGCUUUGGUUGGGCCAGAAGUUCAAAUACAUCCGAAAUGUUUGGGCCGGCAAACUAAUGUACCGGGCCUGAACGAGAAGGACGGAUUUCGUCCGAAAUUCUUUUUUUUCGGCCGAAAUCCAAAACUUUGGACCUACUAUCGAUGAGGUCAGCAUACAUCGAUGUUUUUAUCAGCACUUUCAUCUUUCAAAUUUGUUGCUUGCGGAAACUGAAGCAUCGUUGAUGAGGUCAGCAUACAUAGAUUUGACGAAAAAAAACAUCAAAAUUGUGCAAUUCCGACGAAACACAUCAGAUUGAUGGACAUUAAGCAACCAACGAAAUGUAACCAAGCUGUCCACUUAUUCCCAAUGACCGGACCUCAAACUCGAUAUUGAAAGAGUUCACUCGUACUACGGAAGCUACAGAAACAUCUUUGCGCUACAUGGUAUUUUAGAGGCUUGGAUAGUAAAGGUCAAGCGACGAAUCACCUAGCCAUGUGUCCUUGAAAGAAAUCUGCCUUGGCUCUCAUCAAACCUAUCCAAAAAGAUGAAGUUAUUGGCUUUGCUGUCACCUGGUACAUAUUUUUUGAUUUGAGGUAUUUGUUAUGGAGCAUCUUGAGCAACCAUUUACUAAGUAAACACUUGGUCUUAAUUUGCAGGUCAUCCAUAUACAGUCCCCUCGGUCUACAGUGAAUACUCCCGUUAGCUAAUUCAUACUUCUUCUUUUUUGUCACAUUGCCAGAAAAAUCUAUAUCUACUUCCUCCGUUCCUAAAUACAAGUCUUUCUAAAGGUUCCACUAGAAAGCCACAUACGGAUGUAUAUGGACGUAUUUUAGAGUGUAAAUUCAUUUAUUUUGAUUCGUAUAUAGUCUAUUAGUGAAAUGUCUUAAAAGACUUAUAUUUAGGAACGGAGGGAGUAUAAUACUACAAUCUUUUCCUUACCCAUGUGCAUCUCUCAAAGGAGAGCAUGAUUGCAUGAACAUCGGUAAGAUACUGAGAAUAUCAUUGAUAAGUCAAGCCUACCCCCAUAAGACUUCUAUGUAGUCAAAGUCACGGUAGAAGGCCAUAAAUAAUCCUAUAUUUCGGGGGAAGGGGGGUAGAGUUUAAGCUUACAUAUAUAUAUAUAUACUCGUAAAGCCGCAUCAAGCUCGGAUGAGGAGGUGAUCUGCCAGUUUUUUCUUUGUGACUGCUAUGGUGACGUCAAGUGUCAAGCUCAGAGAAUUCUGCAGUCUUGAUCAUAAUUAUCUUUUUUGGCUGAUAUUUUUUUGUGCAAAGGCCAUUGUUUUACUGUUUUUUUUUUCGUUUUGUUGGGUCUGUAUUUAUGUAACUUAUACUAUAAUCUUUGUGAUACAAAUGAGGCAUGUAUUAUCAUGAAAAAAUAUACAAUGGAACCAGCAUGAAAUGAUAACCCAAAGUAAAACCUUGUACACACGCAAACUGUACGUAGCAUUUUUUGGGCGCUAAUUAGUCGCAUCCGUUAUCCGUGGAUUAGAUAUAUAUCCCGUUGAGAUCGUAUCCAAAUCACCAGGCCCCACACACAUGCAUGCAGAUCGUAUCCAAACCCUAAUUAGUUAGGCACAUCGCUCGAUCACGAACCUUUAUAAAACCCUGCCCACGCGCGCUGUGCAGCACACCCAUGCUCUCACCAUCACCAAUACACCAACCCGUUCUGCUUAGCUCCGAUCGGAUUCCGAGCUCGAGCACCAGCUCCAAGCUACCCAGCCGGUGCUCUCAUGGCCAUGGUUGCCAGGCCAAUCACGGCCAUCAUCUUCACAUUUCUCCUCUUCUUCCUCUUCCUCCACACCGCAAGCCCGGCUCUCGUCGGGGAAGACGAAGACCGCUCCGUGCUUUUAGUCUUCAAGGCCAGCGUGUCCGGCGACCCCAAGGGAGCCCUUGCUGGCUGGGGCUCGCCGGACGUGUGCAACUGGACCGGAGUCGCUUGCGACAUGAAGGCGACACGGCGCCGGGUUGUCAAGUUAAUACUAAGUGAACAAGAGCUCUUCGGCGAGGUCUCUCCUGCGCUUGGCAACCUCUCGCACCUCAGGACACUCAACCUCUCCGGCAACCACUUCGCUGGCAGCAUCCCGCCGGAGCUCGGCAACCUUUCCUAUCUUAAGUUUCUUGAUGUGUCCUUGAACAUGCUCAAUGGGUCGAUUCCGCCAGAGCUCGGCAACCUCUCCCACCUAAAGUUUCUCGACGUGUCAUCGAACAUGCUCGCCUGGACAAUCCCGCCGGAGCUCGGCAACCUCUCCCGUCUCAAGUUUCUCGACGUGUCGUCGAACACGCUCGCUGGGACGGUCCCGCCGGAGCUUGGCAACCUCUCGAGACUUAGCUCCCUUGAUCUCUCUGGGAAUGUCUUUGUCGGGGCAGUGCCGCGGGAGCUUGGCAACCUCUCUCGCCUCAAGUUUCUCAACAUGUCGUCGAAUAAUCUUAACGGGACAGCCCCGCCAGAGCUAGGCAACCUCUCCCGCCUAUUGUUUCUCUAUGUAUCAUUUAACACGCUCUCCGGGAAUGUCCCGUCAGAGCUCUGCAAUCUCUCCCACCUCAAGUUUCUCAGCAUGUCAUCGAACAUGCUCACCGGUACAGUCCCGCCAAAGCUCGGCAACGUCUCGGGACUCAUCUCCCUUGAUCUCUCUGAGAAUGACUUUGUUGGGGCAGUGCCGUGGGAGCUCGGGAAGCUUUCCCGGCUGAAGCAGCUCAGCCUCAGUGGAAACCAGUUGGAGGGCUCGAUUCCGGUGGAGCUCGCGCUUAUGCGGAGUCUGGCAUACCUCAAUCUCGGUCGGAACAACCUCUCCGGGAACAUCCCGUCCACCAUCUUCUGCAACCUCUCCGCCUUGCACUAUGUUGAAAUGUCGUCCAACUCUCUCAACGGCAAAAUCCCCAUACGAGCGGAUUGCUCACUACCAAAGCUCACCUCUCUCGUGUUGUGGUCCAACAACCUCCAUGGCGGCAUUCCCCCCGCGUUGUCAAACUCGACAAACCUUCGAUGGCUGCUGCUGCAGUCGAACUAUCUCGACGGCGAGCUGCCGUCCAAUGACAUGUUCAGCGGCAUGAGGAGCCUCAAGUAUUUGCACCUGUCGUUCAACUCACUCUCGGCGGCGAACUCCCGGAACAACACCGGCCUCGAGCCGUUCUUUGCGUCACUUACCAACUGCACCGGCCUGAAGGAGCUCGGGGUCGCUGGGAAUGACAUUGCCGAUAGGAUCCCGUCUGUCGUUGGUCGCCUCCCUCCCGGACUCAUGCAGCUCCACCUUGAGUUCAACCGAAUCUUUGGCCCGAUCCCCGCGAACAUCUUCAACCUCACCAACCUAAACCUCCUCAACCUCUCCCAUAACCUCCUCGACGGAUCCAUCCCACAGGGCAUCGCCAGCAUGCGACAGCUCGAGCAACUGCACCUCUCAAAUAAUCUGCUCUCCGGCGACAUCCCACCGUACCUAGGCACGAUCCCACGCCUAGGGUUCAUUGAUUUUUCACAGAACCAGCUCACCGGCGCUAUUCCUCCGAGUAUCAUGCAGUGUGUGACCCUGCAAAAUCUCGAUCUCUCUCACAACAAGCUGCAAGGCAAGAUACCAGAUAGCUUGUCGAGGAUGAGCGGGUUGCUCUACCUAAACCUUGCCGGCAACCUGCUGUCUGGUGCGAUCCCGAUGACCAUCGGCGAGGUGGUUAAGCUGGAAAUGCUCAACCUGUCGUCAAAUCAUCUCUCUGGCACGAUCCCACCACAACUCAGCACUUGUAUCGAGCUCGUGUACCUCGACGUCUCCUGCAAUGGCCUAACGGGGCCCCUACCUCUGUCCUUGGAGAAGGCGGUGUCGCUGCGGCAUGUUAACUUUUCCUACAACGACUUCUCAGGCGAGGUGCCGAGCGGUGGGGUCUUUGCGGGGUUCCGUGCGGACGCGUUCCUCGGCAAUGCCGGACUCUGUGCAAGGACGAAGUCGAUGACGCCUCCUUUGGCUAGGUGCAACGGUGCUGCUUCACACCGGCGAGUGGUGUUGCUCGUCGUCGUCACAGCCACGAGCUUCAUGCUGGCAAUCAUUGGGCUCACAGUGUGGUGCGCCUUGGUACGAGAGAGAUGGCGCUCACCGCUGCUACCGUGCGAACCCAGCACGAGGGAGGACUACCCGAGGAUCUCUCAACGGGAGCUCUACGAGGCGACAGGCGGGUUCGAGCAUUCGAGGUUGAUCGGCGCGGGGCGGUUUGGGCGUGUGUACGAGGGGACGCUCCGUGACGGCAUGCGUGUCGCCAUCAAGGUGCUCGACGCAAAUACUGGAGGCGGAGAGGUAUGCCGGAGUUUCAAGCGCGAGUGCGAUGUGUUGCGGCAGACGCGGCACCGAAACCUGGUGCGCGUGGUCACCACGUGCAGCCAGCCGGACUUCCACGCGAUUGUGCUCCCGCUGAUGGCCAAUGGUAGCCUCGAGAGCCACCUCUACCCGCGUGUCGGCGGCCCCGGACGUGGCAUGGACCUCGCAUGGUUGGUCUCCAUCGCCGGCGACAUAGCCGAGGGGCUCACCUACCUGCAUCACUACGCUCCCGUCCGCGUCGUGCACUGCGACCUUAAGCCCAGCAACGUGCUCCUCGACGACGACAUGACCGCCGUUGUGGCUGACUUUGGCAUCGCUCGGAUGGUCAAGGACAUUGGCGACGACGACAACAACACAGGGUCUGCUGAUCCCUGCAACUCCACUGCCGGAUUGUUGCAAGGUUCCGUGGGCUACAUCGCGCCAGGUAAUUUUCAAGACAAUCGAAACCAACAUAGUAUAUGAAUAGAGUAAAUGCAUGCGAUCUGACAUUCUUCUCUUAACAUUUUCAUCAUUUCAUGUCGAUCUAAUCUUGUUGCAUGGUUUUAGAGUAUGGGCUAGGAGGCCGCUCUUCGAGGGAAGGUGACGUGUACAGCUUUGGGGUGAUGCUACUAGAGCUGAUCACCGGGAAGCGCCCGACCGAUGUGCUCUUCCAAGGAGGACUCACAUUGCACGACUGGGUGAGGCGGCACCACCCACAUGAUGUCACCGACAUCAUCGCACGGUCAUGGCUAGCGACCACGGACGAGAUGUUGUCGGCGGUACAAGCGAACAACAUCGUCGUCAAGCUCAUGGAACUUGGGAUCGCGUGCACUCAACACUCGCCGAUGGUGCGGCCCACCAUGGUGGAGGUGUGCCACGCGAUCGCUCUCCUCAAGGAUUCGUUUUCUUCCUGAUGUAUUUUUCGAUAUGUAUUCAUGAUAUAUAUAUGGUCGUAGCAUCGAGGUUAUAUAUUGAACUUGUGGCAUCCCUGUCCGGAUAUGAAGAUAGCCACAGGGUUUGUGGAAAACUUGGGGGUGCCUCAAGGGAGGAGAGGUGCAAGUAACAAGAAGACACCUGGUGUGGCAAGGGAGUACAUGUUAGAAACUUUUUGUUUCCUGAAAUUUACAUGUUAGAAACUUUUUGUUUUCCUGAAAUUUACAUGUUAGAAACUUACCCUAUACGUUGAUGGUAUUGUUUAUGUUUUGUAUCUUAAUUAAAUUACUAAACCGGGGGCUUGAUGCAAUUGUAUGAGCACAUGACCCGGUGGUGUUUUCGGCCAUCAAUCUACAGUAUUAUAACUUGAUAAGCAGCUGAGUAGUAGAGGCAUGGCAUGUCAGCACUUGGUGUAGCUCGACAUGGUCUGAGAAGGCACACUGCUAGUCCCGUUACCACUGUGAAAGGGUAGCAUCCAACCCUAGAUAUUCACUCUGAAAAGAAUAGAAAUGAAAAAAAGGAAGGGGCCAGGAUUUGGGUUGGGUUGGGAUGGGUAGUGCAAAAUAUAAUUACAAAGAACAAGAUUGAGAAUGUGCAUCAGCCUCCAUAACAAUGUUAGUAUGUUGAGUUCGAAGCAACCAGCUUAUAUAAAAAAUAAUUGAUGAUAAUUGAGGAAUUUCAGUUUCAGAAGCAACUGGCUUAGAAACCAAAUUAAUUUUGAUGGUGUUUGGCAGGGCUUUCUUUCUUAAUAUUGAGGAAUUUCAAUUUCAAAAUUAGCUAUACUGUAUUACGGUUGACAUAGGAGAAUUUUGCAUCACAAAUAGGAACUGAUACAAGAUAAUUUAGACCAUGAUAAUUUCUUGGACUUGCACAAAAUAUGAACUCUUGAUAACAUCUUAAAUCACCAAGCAAAGCAACUAAAUCCUAGUAUAUAAGUUGAGCACUGAUACGAGAUGAGAAUUGAGAGAGAUUAGUUUGUGUGAUGUGUUAACCUGUUGAUUCGUUGGCAGAAACAGUGAACAGGUUGAGCCGCUGAGUCACCGAGUAGUCGCCGUAUGAAUCAGAUCGUGAGCAGGUAGGUCAAGGAGAUCAAAGGCAGAUGGCGGCAAGGGCACACGACAGCAGCAAUAUAUAGCGUCUAAUCCUACCAACUAGACGCCAAUCAUGGACGAAAAACGCAUCUCAGGGAAUUAUAU